rnacentral:rRNA from 1 species
AUUGAACGCUGGCGGCAUGCCUUACACAUGCAAGUCGAACGGCAGCACGGGAGCAAUCCUGGUGGCGAGUGGCGAACGGGUGAGUAAAGUAUCGGAACGUGCCCAGUCGUGGGGGAUAACGUAGCGAAAGUUACGCUAAUACCGCAUACGAUCUAUGGAUGAAAGCGGGGGAUCGCAAGACCUCGCGCGAUUGGAGCGGCCGAUAUCAGAUUAGGUAGUUGGUGGGGUAAAGGCCCACCAAGCCGACGAUCUGUAGCUGGUCUGAGAGGACGACCAGCCACACUGGGACUGAGACACGGCCCAGACUCCUACGGGAGGCAGCAGUGGGGAAUUUUGGACAAUGGGCGAAAGCCUGAUCCAGCCAUGCCGCGUGCAGGAUGAAGGCCUUCGGGUUGUAAACUGCUUUUGUACGGAACGAGAAGGUUUGGCCUAAUAAGCUGAGCUCAUGACGGUACCGUAAGAAUAAGCACCGGCUAACUACGUGCCAGCCGCCGCAGUAA